AUUGAACGCUGGCGGCAGGCCUAACACAUGCAAGUCGAGCGGAUGAGUGGAGCUUGCUCCAUGAUUCAGCGGCGGACGGGUGAGUAAUGCCUAGGAAUCUGCCUGGUAGUGGGGGACAACGUUUCGAAAGGAACGCUAAUACCGCAUACGUCCUACGGGAGAAAGUGGGGGAUCUUCGGACCUCACGCUACAAGAUGAGCCUAGGUCGGAUUAGCUAGUUGGUGAGGUAAAGGCUCACCAAGGCGACGAUCCGUAACUGGUCUGAGAGGAUGAUCAGUGCCACUGGAACUGAGACACGGUCCAGACUCCUACGGGAGGCAGCAGUGGGGAAUAUUGGACAAUUGGCGAAAGCCUGAUCCAGCCAUGCCGCGUGUGUGAAGAAGGUCUUCGGAUUGUAAAGCACUUUAAGUUGGGAGGAAGAGCAGUAAGUUAAUACCUUGCUGUUUUGACGUUACCAACAGAAUAAGCACCGGCUAACUUCGUGCCAGCCGCCGCGGUAAGAC
rnacentral:rRNA from 1 species